rnacentral:lncRNA from 1 species
GGCCGCGGGGCCUGGAAGCAGCCUCCGGGAUCUGCAAGUCUGGAAAGGCCACGUUGUGGACCUUGGCGCAGAGGUUAUGGGGGCGACCCGGAGCGGAUGGUUUCAGGAAAACUAGAACCCACCCUCAUGGCCUGAACAACUGGAGAGAAGAGGAUCGCAGCAAUUUAAAGCCAGCGGCAAGGAUCACAGUCCUGGGGGUCUCGCUCGGUCACCCAGGCUGGAGUGUAAUGCUGCGAUCUCGGCUCACUGCAACGUCCGCCUCCCGGGUUCAAGAGAUUCUCCUGCCUCAGCCUCCCGAAUAGCUGGGCGUGCCACCACGCCCGGCUGAUUUUUGUAUUUUUAGUAGAGACGGGGUUUCACCAUGUUGGCCAGGUUGGUCUCGAACUCCUGACCUCAAAUGAUCCGCCCGCCUUGGCCUCCCAGAAUGCUGGGAUUACAGGCGUGAGCCACCGCGCCAGGCCGACAACUGGUAUCUUAAGGCUUAGGGCCUCUGGUAGAAGUGAGCUCCACCUCCCUUCCUGUGUAGAAGGUAAAUGCAUUCAUUCAUUCAGUGAAUCGAGCAUGCAUGAAAUCGUUUGCGCACACCCAGAAGCCCACCUGCGAGCCACAGGAGCAGCCAUUCCAGGAAGCCAAGCUAUAAUGGGAGACGCAAGGAAUGGAGGCGGAACUCCUGUUUUUAAGUCCUAGCUCCAACACUAGCCUUGUCAGCCUGUAAUUCUGAAUUACUGGGCGCCUCUGAGGCUUCUUGUCUCAUCUGCAAAUCAGGAACAACGGCAUAGAGUGGUGAAUGCAUCAAGUGGGAUGAUGUCUGCAAGUACGCAACCCGCUUACACAAAGAAUUAUCUUUCCAUAACCUUCCCUGGACCCCUAGGGCCAGCAGGGAAUCAUAGCCUCCCUUUGUUUCUAGAGCCCGGAAAUCACUGGGUUUUCCCUCUGUCUGGAGCAGAGCUGGGUGCGAAUUUGACCAACGGGUGGCAGGAACAGCCGGAGCAGGAUAUUAAGGAGCGGGCGAGCUUGCCAAGCAUGCGCAGUAGCGGCGGGUUGGUUUGAGAAGCCGCCAGGGAGCCAGCGCGGCGACCUAGCUGGCUGGGGCAGGGGAGGGGCCCGCCUUAUAUGGGAGCUGCGUGGGGACAAACUGUUCGGGCCCAACGCGCGGGUCUGAGAGACAGCCACGCCUGCUCCGGGUCACUCCGGCCACCUGGGGGGCGUCGGCGCGCAGACUCUGGCCAGUUCAGUAUUCAAACUCUUCAGGAGUGCUAACUUACUCAUGACAGCGAUUUUCUGUAUCGGGGUUUCAUUGGUCGGUGGUUUAGAAGGUUUUGCUCAUUCAUUCGUUAAUGUAAUUCCAACAACCUACACGUGUUUAUAAGCCCCCUUUCCAUCCACGACUUUGCUGUCUGACACAAAACGGACCAUCGCAGCCCGGCAGACGCUUUAGACAACAAACAGCAUGCCUGGAGCUUUUCAAUAGGAAGCAGUAGAAUCACCUGGCGGUCUUGUGAAACUGCAGCUUCUAAUGGGCAAGUCAGAGGGGAAGCCUGAGACAUGGCAUUUCCAGCACGUUCGGGGAGUGAAGAUGCUGUCGGCUGCCACCCUCCCUGCAAGGAGCCAGGGGAUAGAUGACCUCUACGCAAACUCUCCCCUCAAUGGGAAGUAGAAUCUCUUUCUCCACCUCUUCAAUAUGGCUGGCCCUGGAACUUCCCUUGGCACACAGAAUGCAGCAGAAUUGGCUUCAUGUUGUUUCUAAGCCUUGGCCUCAGAGGCCUUGCAUGCUUCCUAACCCUGGCUCUAGGAAACUUGCUGCUGUCAUGUAAGCAAGCCCAGGCUAACCUACUGAAUGUUGGUGUGUCCCAGUCAAAUCCAGCACUGCAACCAAUAGCCAGGCAGCCACCAGACAUGUGAGUGGGGCCACCUCACACCAGCCAACCUCCACCAAGUCAUCAGAUGUAUGAGUGAGAACAGCCCAGAACAACUGAGCCCGUCCAGACCAGCGGAACAACCAAGCUGACCAGUAGACUUAGGAGCAGUAAACAGAUGAUUGUUAUGGAAGCCAUUCUGUUUAGGGUGUGUGUGUUAUUGCUUGCAUCCAAAUACAUCCUAUCUCAUCUAAUGAGAAAAGGCCCUGCUCAAGGGCUUUUGCAGCUGUAGUUGGGCGCCGGAAGUGUCUUUGUGGUCAUUUCUUACUCCAUACACGGGGAGAUCAAGGCUCAGACCAGGUAGUGUGACUGUGGACAACACUUUCCUUACCCCUCUGUGACACUUAAAUCAAUGAAGCAGAUUCACAGAAGCAUGCAUGCUCACUGAACACAGUAUUUGCAUUCCUACCUCCAAACCUUUGCUCCACCCAUGCAUCCAGUAAGAAUGCCUACUUCCCUCCUCUCCUCCAUCGAGUUCUUUCUUUGAGUUCUACCUUCCCUAGUCUUCCUCCACUGCACCAACCCACGGUGAUCCCUGUCUCUUCCAAAUGCUUUGUAACAUGGUAGGCAUCACUCACUUGUGACUCAUUGGACCAUUUUAAAACUUGGUUUUCUGUGUCUCUUUUCCAACAAAAUUACAAAUUCUUUGAGGGUAAAAGUCAGGCCUAAUAGUUCUCUGUACUCCUAGUAGUGCCAGUGUGGUAAAAAUUUAACUUGACAAUUAGCAAAACCAAUAAAUUCCUUACACUAUUCUGUUCCUGUAGGUAAUCAGUAUAUGAAUAUGGAUUCCUAUGUGAUGAUUUUCUGGUCUAUUUUGUCCCUUUUUUUUUUUUGUUACUUUAACCAGGCCAUAACAUAAAGGUUAUGCCAUUUGUUACUGUCAAGCUUAAUUAAGCCCAUUAUAAUUCGUUAACCCCUGUGCUUGCUUUGUAAUUAACAUUGAUUAACACAAACAAGUACAAAAUAGGCCAUCAGCACUUUCCAGAAGUGCUGAUUACAAUUACAUUGGUAAUUCAAUACGGUAUAGAAGAUGGCAGGAUAGUAACUUGCACUCUGUUUACAUAAGGAGACAAAUGCUACCAUGCAAAACUAAGCCAAGAAACAAAAUACUUUCCUCAUCCAACUCACUGAUUAAACCCUUACCCUGUUAACUCACCCUAUGACUGUGUAAACCUCCAGUAAGAUUAUUGAAGGCACAGCUCCAAGUAACUUGCUUAAUUGCAUUCCUGGGACAAAAGAGGGAAGCGCUUCAAAGCUGACAGACAGAUGGUAGAGUGUCCAGUCACAGCAAAGCAGGCCCCGAGGCUCAUGACAGACAACUCCAGGGCUGAGAUCUCAUUUGUAGCUCUGGGAUAAAGUCCAGGGUUUGAUGGCAGCAGGCUGAAGUGUAAAGAUGCUCAACAAUGCGCACCCCAGAGACACUGAAUCUGAAAAAGCUUAGAGUGAAUAAAAAUCUGGAAAUGAACUCUGUCUGUCUAUUCACCAUUCCCCCCAUAAAAAAAUUCCUAUAUUCCGGAUGGUGUUCAAGUUCCCUUUCCACAGGACCUCAGCAGUCAGGGAGGUGCUCCUGCAAUCUAUGUGAAGGAGAUUUCACCAUGCCCACAUGGGAAUACAGUAGAUUGCCAGUAGGGAUGCCACACCUUUGCAUUUCCUCGUAUUUCCAGGAACAAAGCUGGGGUGCCUAGGAGCUGCAGCAGUUUUUCUUCUGUGUAAAAUAAGCAAGCAGGACUCUGCCCCACUGCACUCCAGGGAAGGAUUAAGAGAAUUGAUAUCAUCCAAAUCAAUUGGCCCUGUGCAGAUGACUUGAUAAUGAGGCCAUUGAGUUUUUAUGGUUCACUAUUAUUGCUACAAAAAUUAUGCUGCAGAAAUCAUUCAAAUGCUCAAAAAGGAGCAUUAGUACGAAACUGGGUGUUCCAAAGUUGUUGCUGAGAGGUGUGUAAUGUUCCUGAAGAUCCCCAAGGCACUAAGACUUCUCUGUACAUGAAUGACUCAUAGAGAAGAAAUACACCAGAUGAAAAUAUAUGGAGAAGUUUGCCGAAUGUCAUAUAACUU